GACCCUUUCUCCUUUAUGGCCAUGUCAGAAAAUAAAAGAGAAAGAGAGAAAAGGUUGCAAAAAGAACCAGCAGGCAGGAGCAAACAGUAUAAUGAGGCAGGGAGUAUGGGAUAGCUUUUGGCUUCAACAGUGUCUGCAGAAUGGAGGCAAACUAGAUGUGUAUCAAAAAUCAGCCACAGUAGGAGGUAUCCGUCUCCCAGGUAAUGGCUAAAUGACAAGCAGAUGAGCCGCCAUCAUAUUGAUUUAAGCAUUUUGUUCCAGCCAGUCACAAUUAACUUUGAUUUGUUUUUACUUUCCUCUUACAGGUUUGCAUUUAAAGCACUCUGAGAGCACUAAUUGUAUAACAUUUUACAAACUGCACAUUCUCUUUCUGGAGAGGUAAUGAAUGAGUGGAAAAGGCUGGAAUUUAUUUGACAUUCUAGGCAGGAGCUUUUUCUGAGUACUUCUUGCUCUGUGUGAAAUUGGGAUGGAAGGGCAUUUUACCUUGUCACCAGAGGUGGUAUUCAGCAGGUUCUGACCAGUUUGGAGAACUGGUAGCAGACAUUCUGAGUAGUUCAGAGAAUUGGCAAAUACCACCUCUUACUGGCCCCACUCCCAUCUAUUCUCUGCCUCCCAAGUGGCAGCUGAUUGGCUGGGUCUUCUUUUGUUGCCCUGCACAGGAGAACGGAGCUGGAAAGCAGGUUAGUGGGAUGGGGAGGGAAUGGAAUUUUGCAGUAACCUUCCCCCAGGAGUGGGGAGGGAAUGGGGAUUUUACAAUAUCCUUCCCCUGCCUUGCCCACCAAGCCAUGCCCACCAAGCCAUGCCACACCCACAGAACCAGUAGUAAAAUUUUUUGAAUCCCAUCACUGCUUGUCACUCAAUGAUGGUGUUAACACAGCAUGCAAGCCCUAGCCCCCAUAUUUGGCUAAUAGCUAUUGUCUAUAUUUUUACAGAAGCCUUUUUAUCUACCAUUUGGAAGGAAACAGCCCAAAGAACUUUCCGGUUGACAACCAGCUAUUGGUUCAUAGAAUAAUAAGGCUAAAUAUCACUCAAUGAUUGGCUAUUUAUUUAUCCAAUUUCUACAAGGUCCAUCCCAAAAAGCCAGAAGUGAAAUGUCUUCAAGGAAAAGCAAAAAAGGUCUACUUGCCAAUUUAACAAAACACCUUUGGGACAACCAUGACCUGGAUGACCGAGAAUCUCCAUAGAUGACUGAAUGUUAGGUUAUCACUGGAGAAGAGAGUGAAGAAAAAGAAAAAAGAAAAGCAAUAUUUAUAGAAGCGUCUUUGCAACGGUGACAUAGUUAACUCUGUUUCUGUUGUCCCAUACACAUCCCAUUUUAAUCAAGAAAUCCAGUGGGAUAAGGAAUUCUUCCUAAUAUUUUAAAUGCCCAUUAAAUGAUGGCAUAUCUUUUAGCCAGCAAAAAAUUCAUCAAGGAAGUAGACAAAUAAAAAAAAACCAAACAGAUUAAUUUUUACAAGGCAAAGUUUAAGACAUGUAUUGUAUGCCCUUUCUCCUACAGAACAUACCUUAAACUUUAAGAUUUUAAAACAGUGCUUGAGUUUUGCUGCGUUCACACCAGCUGAAAUUAUCCUCCUUUUUGCUGCUAAUUAUUAAUAUGUUCAGUACUGUAAGUGAAAAUAAAAAUAUGUUCCUAAUUAAAG
rnacentral:lncRNA from 1 species